rnacentral:rRNA from 1 species
UACGGAAGGCAGCAGUGGGGAAUAUUGCACAAUGGGCGCAAGCCUGAUGCAGCCAUGCCGCGUGUAUGAAGAAGGCCCUUCGGGUUGUAAAGUACUUUCAGUCGUGAGGAAGGUGUUAAGGUUAAUAACCUUAGCAAUUGACGUUAGCGACAGAAGAAGCACCGGCUAACUCCGUGCCAGCAGCCGCGGUAAUACGGAGGGUGCGAGCGUUAAUCGGAAUUACUGAGCGUAAAGGGCACGCAGGCGGUUAAUUAAGUUGGAUGUGAAAUCCCCGGGCUUAACCUGGGAAUGGCAUUCAAGACUGGUUAGCUAGAGUCUUGUAGAGGGGGUAGAAUUCCAUGUGUAGCGGUGAAAUGCGUAGAGAUGUGGAGGAAUACCGGUGGCGAAGGCGGCCCCUGGACAAAGACUGACGCUCAUGUGCGAAAGCGUGGGGAGCAAACAGGAUUAGAUACC